rnacentral:pre_miRNA from 1 species
CUGGGCGGGCGGCCGUUAAGACUUGCAGUGAUGUUUAACUCCUCUCCACGUGAACAUCACAGCAAGUCUGUGCUGCUUCCCGUCCCCAC